GUGGGGAAUCUUCCGCAAUGGACGAAAGUCUGACGGAGCAACGCCGCGUGAGUGAUGAAGGUCUUCGGUUUGUAAAGCUCUGUUAAUCGGGACGAAAGAGCCUAGUGUGAAUAAUGCUAGGAAGUGACGGUACCGGAAUAGAAAGCCACGGCUAACUACGUGCCAGCAGCCGCGGUAAUCCGUAGGUGGCAAGCGUUGUCCGGAAUUAUUGGGCGUAAAGCGCGCGCAGGCGGAUCUGCAAGUCUGUCCUACAAGUUCGGGGCUUAACCCCGUGAUGGGAAGGAAACUACAGAUCUAGAGUAUCGGAGAGGAAAGUGGAAUUCCUAGUGUAGAGGUGAAAUGCGUAGAGAUUAGGAAGAACACCAGUGGCGAAGGCGACUUUCUGGACGAAAACUGACGCUGAGGCGCGAAAGCCAGGGGAGCGAACGGGAUUAGAUACCCGAGUAGUCC
rnacentral:rRNA from 1 species